rfam:Sphaerobolus stellatus SS14 unplaced genomic scaffold SPHSTscaffold_14, whole genome shotgun sequence.
GCCUUGCUAGUUCAAUCAGUAGAGCGUGAGACUCUUAAGUCUUGGGUAUUUCAUCCGAACUUAUAAUCUCAAGAUUGGGGGUUCGACCCCCAUGUAGAGCU